rnacentral:tRNA from 1 species
GCACUCUUAGCUCAGUUGGUAGAGCAACUGACUCUUAUUUGAUGGGUCCAGGGUUCGAAUCCCUGAGGGGUGUACAA